rnacentral:tRNA from 1 species
CCCCUGCCUUACCGCUUGGCCAUGCCGCCA